AUUGAACGCUGGCGGCAGGCCUAACACAUGCAAGUCGAACGGUAACAGGAAACAGCUUGCUGUUUCGCUGACGAGUGGCGGACGGGUGAGUAAUGUCUGGGAAACUGCCUGAUGGAGGGGGAUAACUACUGGAAACGGUAGCUAAUACCGCAUAACGUCGCAAGACCAAGAGGGGGACCCUCGGGCCUCUUGCCAUCGGAUGUGCCCAGAUGGGAUUAGCUAGUAGGUGGGGUAACGGCUCACCUAGGCGACGAUCCCUAGCUGGUCUGAGAGGAUGACCAGCCACACUGGAACUGAGACACGGUCCAGACUCCUACGGGAGGCAGCAGUGGGGAAUAUUGCACAAUGGGCGCAAGCCUGAUGCAGCCAUGCCGCGUGUAUGAAGAAGGCCUUCGGGUUGUAAAGUACUUUCAGCGGGGAUGAAGGGAGUAAAGUUAAUACCUUUGCUCAUUGACGUUACCAGCAGAAGAAGCACCGGCUAACUCCGUG
rnacentral:rRNA from 1 species